AAAGGGCAGUAGUAAACCUAAGGAGAAGAAGAUUCACCCACUUCUCAGCCUCUUUGAUUUUCGGCGGAAGAAGACGACAACAGCUAGGCCUGAAUUUGCUAGGUAUCUUGAGUAUGUGAAGGAAGGAGGCAUGUGGGAUACCAAUUCCAAUAAACCUGUCAUCUAUUACAAAUGAUUACUCAUCUCAGGUUUCAAACUCAAGUAAAAAUCAUGUAAGAAUAUGAAUACUAGAAAAUGGUGACUAUAUGCAACAAAAACAAAAACCUGAUGAAUUAUGCAUGCAGUGAGCCGCAAUCCCUGACCGCCCUCAUGACGUUAUCAAGUGAGAACAAGGCUAUUUGACCCUUAAUUAUCAAGUUUAUUUUGAACGUUGAUUUCAUCAUAAAUUUUAUGC
rnacentral:sRNA from 1 species